rnacentral:rRNA from 1 species
AGUCACUGACAUUAGAUACCCCUGUAGUCCCAGCCGUAAACAAUGUGCGUUAGGUGUGUCGGUAACCACGCGUUACUGAUGCGCCGAAGAGAAAUCGUGAAACGCACCACCUGGGAAGUACGGUCGCAAGGCUGAAACUUAAAGGAAUUGGCGGGGGAGCACCACAACAGGUGGAGCCUGCGGUUUAAUUGGAUUCAACGCCGGACAUCUCACCGGAUAAGACAGCUGAAUGAUUGUCAAUCUGAAGGUUUUACAUGACUAGCUG